CAUCGCGAGUGGCAUUGUCUCUUCUCACAAACAUGGCGUCCUCCAUGUGAUGGGAAAUGUGAUGUGAUUUCGAAACACGGAAUAGUUCAUUCAGCACAUGUGGUGAUAUGUAUAACUCGGCUCUGCGAAGAUGUAACCACACCCGUGAGGACAUCCUUGCUCUUAAAAGGCUUCUGCUAUCUUCCACGUGUCCUGACAGGUCCUUUGGUAGCGAAGGCUGUUCGCUUCUCGCGCGGAGGUCAAUCCCGGCGCUCUCGUUAGGGCAAUGCCAACCGGCUUCGCGAUAUUCCACUAUUGUGGAGCCAUCUUACAAGAUUCAAGAGCGAAGGACGAAGGUUGGAAAGCUACGGAGCAGCCAGUACAAGCAGCUAAUGAAAGUGCUAGAGGCCCACAGAGUCCAACUACAGGGUGCAGCUAGCAACUACCAGAAGAAUGAAGUGAUUCUGACCAUCCCUUCAACCUGCAAUGUCAUCACACUCCCAUCGACCGAUUUUGUUCACAAGAUCACGUGCGAAAGACCGGAUGAGUCCUGCCAGCCGUCGCCCUCGGACAACUUUCUUCACGUGUCUAAAAGUCAACCGAAACGGUUCUCCGCAGGAACUAAGAAACUGGCAGCAGGCACACCCGAUGCCUGCAUCGAGCCAGUGGAGGAUCUGCUCUGCUUCGGGGACACUUUCGCGUCUGAGUUUGGCCUGUCCGUGCACCACUUGGACACUGAGCAUUUGGGAGCUGCGCUUCUCGAAGAAGAGAAGCAGGAGGCCCUGGAGGAGAAGGUUGUGCUUCCUGACCUGAACAUCGCGCAGAGUAAGAAAAGAAAGACCAAGAAGUCGGGGCUGAAGCUCUCGGCGUCACAAAUGGAAGCCGUCGCCAAGGUGAAGAAGGAGGAACUAGAGAAGAUGGCUAAAGCGGCACAGUUGCAGGCGGCGCUGAGGGCGUACGUCGACACGUGCAUUCAGGCCAAUCUGCUGGAUCAAGCCCAUUCAGCCUUGCAUUUUCAUCGCUACAAGUCCAGACACCAAAACAACGGAAUCUCGGUCGUCGACAUCCACGUCUUCAACAGUCUCAUGCGGGGCUUUGCUCUCAAGGGCAAACUGUCUCGAUGCCUGGAGCUGCUGCACACAAUGGAGCACGACAAAGUUGAGCCAGACUUGCAUACGUAUCGGAGCCUCUUGGAAGUGCAUGCAAGGCAGGCAACCAUUUCAAAGCAAGAAGUGGAGAAGUUAGUUCAAGCACUUGAGGGCAAGGGCUACACACUCGAGCAGCUGGUCACCGAGGGCAGGUUCCUCGGCAAUCAACGAGAAAAGCUUUUGGAGGCCAUUCACGUUGCGGUACCAGAGUUCGAGCCUGAGCCAAUGAAGUACCCGAGAGACUACGUUUGUUCUUUGCUCAAGAGACUGGAAAAGCAGGAAAAGGCACACGAUGCUUACAGUAAUUCGAAAGGGGUGAUGUCCAUGGAAGAACUACGCAGAUGCGCCUCCGAGCAGCUGGCCUGGGAGGUUGAAGGACAACUGACGGUCAAGUCUGUGGCAAGGGAAACUAACCCUUCAGAGAAAGUCAUCUUUCUUCGAAAGCAAGUGGAGGCCACAGAAGCUGCCUGGAAAGUGAAGUUGCGAGAAUCUUUUCUUCAAAACAUGAAGGCUCUCUUCAGCCAUUCUUAUAUGAUACGUGGCAUGUCGCUUUACCCGUACCUGAAUGUGCUCGAACCUGACUGCUACGUGAACAUCAUGCUGCAGGAAAUGCGUGCCUUAGCAAUGUCCUCGGAGACGUUCAGCCCGGCCAUCGGCGUCCUUCAUCACGGCAUAGGAGCCAAAGUGAUGACAAGAUAUAUGACUGCCGUCAAACAGAAUAACGGAAUCGCAGAAAAGAUCACAGCGCUGUACGAGAGGUAUUUGGAAUACUUCACCACACCUGAGCUGCGGAGCAGGUACACCCCUCGGGAGUACUGGCAGACGCUGAAAGAGCUGAAUUCCUCAGGCCCUUCACUGGACGGAGAAGUCAGCCCCUGGCCGUAUUACACUCUCCUUGGGGUUGGACGUUUCCUCUACGAUGUCAUCAUCCACGAGGCCAAGAUCGACAUCAAUGUCACGAGGCAUUCAUCCUCAACAAAAAAGAUGAUCCCAGCGUUCUACAACAUCUACAGAACGGUGGGACCUCGAACAAAAGAAGAGAUCAAGCCCCAUCCCCUGUUGGCCAAACUGUACAGAGGGGCUUUGCUGGAGGAGUUGUCAUUCGACGUUGGAGUGGUACCCAUGGUGUGCCCUCCGUUACCUUGGUCGUGCGUGCAGAGCGGAGUUUUUCUUCUCACACAGACACCAUUUGUCAGGCUCCCAGAAACAGCUCAGCAGCAGAAGGCAAUCCUCGAGAAUACUCCGCCUGAGCAGCUUUACCCAUCCUUUGAUUCACUCAACAUUUUGGGGAUGUGUCCAUGGAAAAUCAACAAGCCAAUGCUCGACCUGGUCACAGAAGUUUUCCUCAACAAGGGAAGCAACGAAUUGGACAUCCCUAUGCCACCUUCAGAGUGUAACGCAGCACCAAAGUUUCACCCAGGCAUGAGCAAGACCGAGAAAUUAAAGGUUGCCCGCGAAAGGAUGUUAGUCAAGCGAAAGAAGGCAGAGAUGUACAGUCUUUGGUGCGACGCCCUCUACAAGCUCUCCAUUGCAAACCACUUCAAAGAGAGAACCUUUUGGUUCCCACACAACAUGGACUUCAGGGGGCGUGUGUACCCAUGUCCGCCCCACUUCAAUCACCUGGGUAGCGACGUUGUCCGUGGUAUCCUCCUUUUCGCCGAGGGGGAGCCGUUGGGCAAGAACGGCCUCGAUUGGCUCAAGAUCCACCUGAUCAACCUUACAGGACUGAAGAAGAGGGACCCGGUUGAGGAAAGGUUGAAGUUUGCCAACGAGGUCAUGCCGUUGAUCCUCGACUCUGCGGACAACCCAAUGAACGGUCAGCGGUGGUGGACGCUCUCUGAGAAACCCUGGCAGACGCUCGCCUGCUGCAGGGAAGUGGCCAAUGCUGCGCGGUCGGACAACCCCGAGGCCUACGUCUGCCAUUUCCCCGUGCAUCAAGAUGGCUCCUGCAACGGACUGCAGCAUUACGCCGCGCUCGGGCGAGACCACGACGGUGCAGUGCAAGUGAACCUCCAUCCCUGCGACUUUCCGCAGGAUGUGUACAGCGGGGUUGCAGCUCUGGUUGAGAGGGAACGAACGAAAGAUGCAGCUGGUGGUCUCGAAAUUGCCAGGGUCCUGGACGGCUUCAUCAAGCGCAAGGUGGUGAAGCAGACGGUGAUGACGGUCGUGUACGGUGUCACACGUUUCGGAGCACACCUUCAGAUCAUGAAGCAGCUCAAGGACAUCCCAGACUUCCCUCAGGAACAUUGCUGGAGUGCCGCUCACUACCUUGUGCAGAAGACCUUCUUCUCCAUUCAGGAGAUGUUCACUGCCACACGCGAGAUACAGGACUGGUUUACCCAUUGUGCAAAGCUCAUCUCUCAAGUGUGUGGCCAGCCCGUGGAGUGGGUCACCCCAUUGGGACUUCCGGUUGUACAACCUUAUCACAGGUCAACCACAAGCAAGAGUCCCAUUUCAUUUGGUGACAGAAUACCCCAAUCGUACAGCACAAACUUUGAAAUGUACCAGAGGCCAAACAUCAUGAAACAGAAGAACGCAUUUCCUCCAAACUUCAUCCAUUCCUUGGACUCGACACACAUGAUGUUAACUUCACUCUACUGCCAGAAGGCAGGCAUAACUUUUGUGUCUGUGCAUGACUGUUUCUGGACCCAUCCAAACACAGUGGAUAUCAUGAACAAGGUAUGCAGGGAGCAGUUUGUAGCCCUGCAUAGUGAGCCAAUCCUGGAGAACUUGUCUGCGUUUCUGGUCAAAACAUUUGGCUACAAGGACAGUGAGUUAUCGCGCGAUGGUUCCCUGGGAGACCUGGCAAAGAUAAAGCUCAAUCGGAUCUUGACCCAGAUACCGCAGAAAGGUUCUUUCGACCUGGAAAAGGUGCUGGACUCUGUCUACUUUUUCAGUUGAAGCCUACAAAGUAAACUGCACAUAAAUAGAAGUGUGUCAAAUGUACCAUUAAUAAAUGUUGUGACUAUGCAAAGACUUCAGAACCACGAAUCUCCCUUGGCCUUCUUGUACUUGAUGUGCUGCAGAUGAAUGGCGUUGGCUAUUUGUUUGGCCGUACGGUUUUGCCCGUAGUAAUCUACGAAAUCGCCGUCGGGAUCCACCAGGUACAUGAUGACGGUGUGGUCGACCUGAAGCACAGAAAAAAAGCAUUCUGUAACUCUGCAAGUCAUUCGAAUCACGUUCUUGGAUGGACUCUGCGAUAAGUCGUGCUUGGUGAUGAAAGGUGACCUAUUUAUUUAAAGGGGGUUAUGAAACCAUUUUCCAAACUUUUGAAGUAGUGACAUUGUAAAUAUUGAGUUGUGUGUACUAAAGCUAUUGCACUCCCAA